rnacentral:rRNA from 1 species
AUUGAACGCUGGCGGCAGGCCUAACACAUGCAAGUCGAAUGGUAACAGGAAACAGCUUGCUGUUUCGCUGACGAGUGGCGGACGGGUGAGUAAUGUCUGGGAAACUGCCUGAUGGAGGGGGAUAACUACUGGAAACGGUAGCUAAUACCGCAUAACGUCGCAAGACCAAAGAGGGGGACCUUCGGGCCUCUUGCCAUCAGAUGUGCCCAGAUGGGAUUAGCUAGUAGGUGGGGUAACGGCUCACCUAGGCGACGAUCCCUAGCUGGUCUGAGAGGAUGACCAGCCACACUGGAACUGAGACACGGUCCAGACUCCUACGGGAGGCAGCAGUGGGGAAUAUUGCACAAAGGGCGCAAGCCUGAUGCAGCCAUGCCGCGUGUAUGAAGAAGGCCUUCGGGUUGUAAAGUACUUUCAGCGGGGAGGAAGGGAGUAAAGUUAAUACCUUUGCUCAUUGACGUUACCUGCAGAAGAAGCACCGGCUAACUCCGUG